AACGAACGCUGGCGGCAGGCUUAACACAUGCAAGUCGGGCGCCCCGCAAGGGGAGCGGCAGACGGGUGAGUAACGCGUGGGAAUCUACCCAUCUCUACGGAAUAACGCAUGGAAACGUGUGCUAAUACCGUAUACGUCCUUCGGGAGAAAGAUUUAUCGGAGAUGGAUGAGCCCGCGUUGGAUUAGCUAGUUGGUGGGGUAAAGGCCUACCAAGGCGUCGAUCCAUAGCUGGUCUAAGAGGAUGAUCAGCCACACUGGGACUGAGACACGGCCCAGACUCCUACGGGAGGCAGCAGUGGGGAAUAUUGGACAAUGGGCGCAAGUCUGAUCCAGCCAUGCCGCGUGAGUGAUGAAGGCCCUAGGGUUGUAAAGCUCUUUCACCGGUGAAGAUAAUGACGGUAACCGGAGAAGAAGCCCCGGCUAACUUCGUGCCAGCCGCCGCGGUAAAAC
rnacentral:rRNA from 1 species